AACGCUGGCGGCAGGCUUAACACAUGCAAGUCGAGCGGGCGUAGCAAUACGUCAGCGGCAGACGGGUGAGUAACGCGUGGGAACGUACCUUUUGGUUCGGAACAACACAGGGAAACUUGUGCUAAUACCGGAUAAGCCCUUACGGGGAAAGAUUUAUCGCCGAAAGAUCGGCCCGCGUCUGAUUAGCUAGUUGGUGGGGUAACGGCCUACCAAGGCGACGAUCAGUAGCUGGUCUGAGAGGAUGAUCAGCCACAUUGGGACUGAGACACGGCCCAAACUCCUACGGGAGGCAGCAGUGGGGAAUAUUGGACAAUGGGGGCAACCCUGAUCCAGCCAUGCCGCGUGAGUGANGAAGGCCCUAGGGUUGNAAAGCUCUUUUGUGCGGGAAGAUAAUGACGGUACCGCAAGAAUAAGCCCCGGNUAACUUCGUGCCAGCAGCCGCGGUAAUACNNANGNNGCUAGCGUUGCUCGGAAUCNCUGG
rnacentral:rRNA from 1 species